UACGGGGGGGGCAAGCGUUGUUCGGAAUUACUGGGCGUAAAGGGCUCGUAGGCGGCCAACUAAGUCAGACGUGAAAUCCCUCGGCUUAACCGGGGAACUGCGUCUGAUACUGGAUGGCUUGAGUUUGGGAGAGGGAUGCGGAAUUCCAGGUGUAGCGGUGAAAUGCGUAGAUAUCUGGAGGAACACCGGUGGCGAAGGCGGCAUCCUGGGCUGAGAUUGACGCUCAGGCACGAAAGCGUGGGGAGCAAACAGG
rnacentral:rRNA from 1 species